rnacentral:rRNA from 1 species
CGGUUUAAGCAUGUAGGCUGGUUAUCCAGGCAAAUCCGGAUAAUCAAGGCUGAGGUGUGAUGACGAGGCACUACGGUGCUGAAGUAACAAAUGCCCUGCUUCCAGGAAAAGCCUCUAAGCAUCAGGUAACAUCAAAUCGUACCCCAAACCGACACAGGUGGUCAGGUAGAGAAUACCAAGGCGCUUGAGAGAACUCGGGUGAAGGAACUAGGCAAAAUGGUGCCGUAACUUCGGGAGAAGGCACGCUGGUGUGUAGGUGAAGUCCCUGCGGAUGGAGCUGAGACCAGUCGAA